rnacentral:misc_RNA from 1 species
AAGUCGUAACAAGGUUUCCGUAGGUGAACCUGCGGAAGGAUCAUUAAAAAAUGAGGUAUUUUAUACCUCUUGUAUUUAAAACCCAAUUCUUUUUAAAAUAUAAAUUUUGUUUAAAAAAAAAAAAACUUUCAACAAUGGAUCUCUUGGCUCUC